CGGUAGCUGGUGUGCAGGCUACAAACCAGUAUCUACGGAUGCCCCACAGUUCCAGCACGAACCGGAACACGCAAUCGAAAACACACAGUGAUGUAGGUUACAGAACUCCGCGUGUGUAAAAACAUCCUACUCCUGGGUUUCCCCACAUGCUGUCGAGUAAUAUUUGGCUGCUGCUGGAUCUGGAAAUGACUCACACGCGCAAAAUAAAGAACAGGCCAGGCAGACGGACGGACCGGGUGCACGCGGAGGAAUCACGUUCUGUAGCUGCGCGGGGAGGGCGGCGGCGGACCGUGCACCGGGCCCAGCCUCGAGCACUCUGAGUCACCGCCCAUGAGCUGACGCUGACUCAGAGGAAACGGCCAUGAUGCAGUGGACGCAGGAAACCGUGCGUACCUGGCCGAGCUCACGAACGCGACCACGUGGCUGGAGAAAGUGUGUUAAUGAAGUAACGGGCGCCCGUUGCUCUGGGACGCGGGUCUUCCGCGCACACCCUGGGUCAUCAAAAACGGCACUGUUCAGUUUUUCAGCAUAGCACAGCUGCUUUGGUGAAGGUUAUUUCUGGGACAUGCAAAUGGUAGAUGAUGAUUCUGGCACAUCAACAUCUCGCAUUAUUUACUUGGUAACUACGUUUUCAUGUCUUUGGUGUUACUCACUCACGGAUGUUAUGAUCGCGGUAUGUAACAUGAGGUGAGUCACACCGUCUAGCACGCGGCAAUAAGGGAGUUGGAAAGUACCCGACUUUACCCUUAUGAAUGAAACACCAUGUCCAGGGGCCAGGCAUUUUAGGGCAGUUUGGUGUAUUACAUAACAUUUAGCCUAGGACGUUUCACAAGUUAAACGUUAACAAUUACAUACAAUUUAGUUUAUAGCUCUACUUAUCUUUGCAAGCAUGCAUUUAAUAAAUCGUUUGCAAGCUUUA